GAAUUUUGGACAAUGGGGGCAACCAUGAUCCAGCCAUCCCGCGUGUGCGAUGAAGGCCUUCGGGUUGUACAGCACUUUCGGCAGGGAAGAAAAGGCUCGGGCUAAUACCUGGAGCUGCUGACUGUACCUGCAGAAUAAGCCGCGGCCAACUACGUGCCAGCAGCCGCGGUACUACGUAGGGUGCAAGCGUUAAUCGGAAGUACUGGUCGUAGAGCGUGCGCAGGCGGUUCGGCAAGAAGGAUGUGAAAUCCCAGGGCUUAACCUUGGAACUGCAUUCUUAACUGCCGGGCUAGAGUAUGUCAGAGGGGGGUAGAAUUCCGCGUGUAGCAGUGAAAUGCGUAGAGAUGCGGAGGAAUACCGAUGGCGAAGGCAGCCCCCUGGGAUAAUACUGACGCUCAUGCACGAAAGCGUGGGGAGCAAAC
rnacentral:rRNA from 1 species